UACUAACAAUUUGGUUUUCAUUUUGAUUUUGUUUGUUGUAGACCCAUCCCCAGCGACUUUAACCUGCAAAAGGAAAGGCCAGGUAGAACAUGUCAUGCAGUGGUGUAGUCUAGAGGUUGGGUGAGAACGACACGUGUUGCAUCAUUAUCAAGCAGGUACAAUACCCGCAAGGCUUAGGAGGUGAGGGUGAUAAAAAAAUUCGUAUAAAUGGAGAGAGAAAAGGAUACCGACAUCAGUUGGGUGAGCAUCAUCGACACGGUAACAACUGUCGCGAACUACCUGUACCAACUGGCUUCUUCAUCGCAUUACCAGCUCGCAACAAUUGUUUGCAGUUAUAGUGUCCUAAUGUGUUUUGUACGGAUACCAAACCGCAAUUCCGACGCCCUACUACACAACAACAACAUACGCUUCAGACGGUUAUCACACUAUCAAGGCUCCAGGGAAUUACACCACAACUUAUGAUGCCCCGAGCUACUACACCGACGCCCUGAAUUAUAGAUAUUCUUCACUUGCUGCAAUCAUCAACUGGUUUUGUGCUGCUGUUAAAUAUUGUAUCGUUGCUGGCCGAGUCGUCCACUGGUGUACCGAUGUUCCCUGGGUAUGGCAGAUACCAAGCCGCAACGCUGCUGUCUUACUACACAGCAACACACGUAACGACCUGUUACUACACCGGGACUUCCAAAUACUACACCUAAAAUACUGAAUAUUACACAAGGACGUAUGCUACCCCAGUUUACUACACCGAGCAACCUAAGCAUUACUCUGCUCUGAGCUACAACAGAGGCUCCUGUUAACUACACAACCAUCGCCCCAAGGGUUACGCUGCCCCCAACCGCUACACUGAAGCUCCGAAACCAUUGAAGGAAAACCAAUUCGGAUUCAUGGAUUACUAUGGUAUUGUGCUGCUGUUGGGUGUUGUAUCUUUGAUGGCUGGGUCGACCACGAGUGUACCGAUGUCUCAUGGGAAUGUCGGAUAUUUAAGAACAACGCCGCCGUCCUACUACACAACCACAACAUGAUACGCAACGACCAGUUACUACACCGAGGCCCCCAACUAGUACACCACCAAGGCUCCAGAGUAUUACACCACAACUUAUGCUACCCGAGCUACAUCACGAAAGAUCCUGAGUACUACACAGAGGCUCCCAAGUACUACACCACCAUCGCGUAGCAUACUCACCCGAGCCGUCGAAGUACUACACCACCAAGGAGGCUCCAGAUUAUUACACAACUUGUGCUGUCCCGAGCUACUUCACCGAAACCCUGAAGUAUUAUUCUUCCCCGAGCUACACUACCAUGUGGUCGAGUAUUACACCGAGGCUGCGAAGUACUACACCAUCAAGGUACCGAAGUACUACACCACUACGUAUGCUGCGCUAGCUUACUACACCGAUGCUUGCAAGUACUACACUGCUUCCAGCUCCUACACCGAGGUUCCAACUUAUUACACCACAAGAACGGCCGAAUACUACACAGAAGCACCCAAAUACUACUCUGCCCCGAGCUACAUAAUCCAAACUGAGGCGUCUAAGUAUUAGGUAGCCCCAUCUUCCUACACAACCGCCGUCUCUUCGUAUUUCAUUGAACCGAAAUACUUCACUGAAGCUCCAAUUACAACAACAACCUACGCUACACUCAGCUACUACACCGAAGCUCCUUCUUACUCUGCCCCGAGUAACUACACUACUGAGGCACCUGAAUAUUAUAUCACAACAUACGCUUCUCCAACUUACUACAGUCAUAUCUUAAUAGUUACUAGUCACUGGGAAUUGUUGAUCUUUAAUGAGAAAAUAAAUUUUUUAUCUGGGUAAUCAUUUUGCGCGACUUCUCUUGCCACCUAAAAGCCUUUUGACUUUGCGACGUAUUCUGAUUUUUGUUCGAUCUUUCCUAUUUCGCAUGUUGGUGGUGACUUGCACUAGUCGAUCUGCAUCCCGACACUUUCUAAUGUUUGGACGAACUUGAUUUACAGGGCAAGUUACGAAAGAGCCGUUUACGUUUUCUAAAAAACAGCUCUGUUUUUAACUUAAGUUGGCGUAACAAAGGAGUUGCAGAUAGUGUUUGGUUUCUCAUAGAAGUUUAUUUUAAAAGUCUGGAAAUGAUCAGUCACUUGCCUAUAACUUAUGUAAAACUUCAAAGUUGUAAGAAAUAUAAAAGUCAAGUGCUAAA